rnacentral:rRNA from 1 species
UACGUAGGGUGCAAGCGUUAAUCGGAAUUACUGGGCGUAAAGCGUGCGCAGGCGGUUUUGUAAGUCUGUCGUGAAAUCCCCGGGCUCAACCUGGGAAUUGCGAUGGAGACUGCAAGGCUAGAAUCUGGCAGAGGGGGGUGGAAUUCCGCGUGUAGCAGUGAAAUGCGUAGAGAUGCGGAGGAACACCGAUGGCGAAGGCAGCCCCCUGGGUUGACACUGACGCUCAGGCACGAAAGCGUGGGGAGCAAAUAGG